UUCUGCCUAAUCACAUUAUCUGUUAUAAGUAUAAGCAGGGUAUGAGCGAAUGUAAUUUUGUUUCCACAAGUCCCAUCUUGAGAUCAAAUCUACUUUGUGCCAGGAAAAGAAGACUAAGGAAAUAAAAGGAAUAAAAUGAAAGUGGCGGUGAUCGGAGGUGGAGUAAGUGGGUUAGGAAGUGCCUACGUUCUUGCAAGGGAAGAUGGAAUCAAGGAGGUGGUGUUGUUUGAAAAGGAGGAAUCGUUUUUUGGAGGCCAUGGUAAAACGAUGCGUUUGGAAGGAGUUGAUUUAGACAUUGGAUUCAUAGUCUUCAACCCUGUACGUACGCUUCCCAGUUAUCUUUUUCUAGAAUUAUUAAUUAAAUAACCAUCCUAGUUUUAUAAAUGGAAACCGUGAU